rnacentral:rRNA from 1 species
GACGAACGCUGGCGGCGUGCCUAAUACAUGCAAGUCGAACGGAGUGGGGACGGGUGAGUAAAACGUGGGUAACCUCCCGUCAGAGGGGAUAACACUUGGAUACAGGUGCUAAACCGAUACUGAUGGAUGGACCCGCGGGGCAUUAGCUAGUUGGGGGGGUAACGGCUCACCAAGGCCACGAUGCAUAGCGGGCCUGAGAGGAUGACCAGCCACACUGGAACUGAGACACGGCCCAGACUCCUACGGGAGGCAGCAGUAGGGAAUCUUCGGCAAUGGGCGAAAGCCUGACCGAGCAACGCCGCGUGAGUGAAGAAGGUUUUCGGAUCGUAAAGCUCUGUUAUCAGAGAAGCGUUAUCUAAAGAGAAAGCCACGGCUAACUACGUGCCAGCAGCCGCGGUAAUAC